GGUGAUCUGAGCAGAGGCAAAAGGUGCCUUUGACUUUUGGGUCGGCGUUGUCGUCGCUGGUUCUCAAUUGGGUCGGGUCAUCCGUUGUCUUUCCACUCCAUGGCAAUGUUUUCCCAACUGGGUCAUAUAACACAACUGUCUUCAUUGGGCAGCCACCAAAGCCUUACUUUCUUGAUCCUGACACUGGUAGUGACCUCACAUCGCUCCAAUGUGAUGCCCCUUGUGUACGAUGCACCCAGACGCCACAUCCGCUUUAUCGACCCAACAAGGACCUAGGGACCCAAUUUGCGUGUCCCUGCAUUCAGGCGACUACAUAUGUGACCACCCAGAGCAAUGUCACUACGAGGUGGAGUAUGCAGAUGGCGGCUCUUCUCUUGGUGUACUUUUAAAGGAUGUCGUUCAUCCCAAGGAUAUAAACUCCUUUCUCUUUUGCAAGUCCAGAAGGCUCUAAAAUUCCACCAAUGGAAGAGUCUCAAAAUGCUUUAACUGUUGGUCCAUCAUUACGACUUCAAGGAUCGUUAGUACCCUUCUUCUCUUUCAAACAACCAUCCCCUGGUCAAGAGAAUCAAGUUACCUCCAUACCUUCACUGAGAUAUCUCACACAUUUUAUGCUUUUUAAAUUGCUUAUCAAAAAAGAAAACAUUCAGAUUUUUGGCCACUGUAUGUGGUAUUACUGAUUUCCAGGUUUUUUUUUUAAUGUGUUGCAGCUCUUUUAAUUUUGUAGUUUUCUUUGCGGAUUUUAUUUAAAUUUGUUUGUAAAGAUUUUUCAGUAGAACAUUCGACAUAAUGUUGCUCAUGUUCAUUCAUCUUCCUCAGAAACGAUGUUGGUCUACAUGGAAAAGGCACUGCUAUUGUCUCUGCUUCUGGAUCAUCAGACAUGAAUUUGUCUACCUCAGCCAUUAUGGAAAGAAUUCCAAGCAGGUGGCCACGUCCUGUGUGGCAUCCUCCAUGGAAGAACUACAGGGUCAUAAGUGGGCAUUUGGGAUGAGUGAGAUCUAUCGCAUUUGAUCCUAGCAAUUAAUGAUUCUGCACUGGCUCUGCAGAUCGGACAAUUAAGGUCAAAGUUCUCAACAAACUUGCUUCAGCUCGAGCUUCAGGAGCAGGUAGCGGCAGCAGAGUCUUGAUAGAUUUGGUAGAGGGUCUAGAAGAAGCAGCUGUUGCUGUAGAAUUGAGGUUGAAGAUCAACCAGAGUCAUCCGGACUUAAAGGGAGGGUACGUGGUUUCUUGGUUUCUAGCAAUGUCGUUUUCUUUUUCCUUCUCUAAGAUCCUGAUAGUGUAGAGGUUACAGAUCUUCCCGAGACUAUGGAGAGGCAGUGUUGAAGCACUUGGAGAACUCUAUUGAUUUAGACCCAAAGCUUCAGAAAGCUCCAGUAAAUUAUGAAGGAGUCCCGGUAUCUGGGUUUGGAGGAUGGUUCCUUCUGAGGCUCUCGCUUUAUGAUCCUGUUCUUACUCUUAACAUUGAGGCACCAACUCACGAUGACACUGUAAAACUUGGACUUGCCGUGCUUGGGGCUGUUAAGGAGUUUGCAGCUUUGGAUACUUCCGCUUUAGACAAGUUUGUUCAAGUAUCAUGAGCCGAUGAUGCAGAGCGCUUUGGUACAAGUAUCUUUCGGCACAUUAUACUAGCAGUUAAAGUCGGCUUUGGCGUCUACCUCUGUACAGUACGUAUAAUCAGUGCGUCAAUCUCUGAUUCUGAGGAGGUUCAUUUUUCAGAUGGUUUUGGUCACAGGCACUCGAAAUACUAGUUGAUGGCUAUGUUUACUUUAGUUUUUACUUAUGUUCCAUGUAUGCUAUAGAGAUGUUCUGAUAAAUAAGAAACGUUCUUCGACUACAGAAUUUGUCGGAGGGAUGUUUGAAGUUGUGAUGCAACUAGUUUUUCUCG